rnacentral:rRNA from 1 species
AACGAACGCUGGCGGCAGGCUUAACACAUGCAAGUCGAACGCCCCGCAGGGGGAGUGGCAGACGGGUGAGUAACGCGUGGGAACCUACCUUUCGGUACGGAAUAACUCGGGGAAACUCGUGCUAAUACCGUAUAUUCCGGUAACAGGAAAGAUUUAUCGCCGAAAGACGGGCCCGCGUUAGAUUAGCUAGUUGGUGGGGUAAUGGCCUACCAAGGCGACGAUCUAUAGCUGGUCUGAGAGGAUGAUCAGCCACACUGGGACUGAGACACGGCCCAGACUCCUACGGGAGGCAGCAGUGGGGAAUCUUGGACAAUGGGGGAAACCCUGAUCCAGCCAUGCCGCGUGAGUGAUGACGGCCUUAGGGUUGUAAAGCUCUUUCACGCAUGACGAUGAUGACGGUAAUGCGAGAAGAAGCCCCGGCUAACUUCGUGCCAGCCGCCGCAGUAA